rnacentral:rRNA from 1 species
CGUGAGCGGCGGACGGGUGAGUAACGCGUGGGUAACCGUGCCUCAUACAGGGGGAUAACAGUUGGAAACGGCUGCUAAUACCGCAUAAGCGCACAGUACGCAUGGUACGGUGUGAAAAACUCCGGUGGUAUGAGAUGGACCCGCGUCUGAUUAGGUAGUUGGUGGGGUAACGGCCUACCAAGCCGACGAUCAGUAGCCGACCUGAGAGGGUGACCGGCCACAUUGGGACUGAGACACGGCCCAA